rnacentral:rRNA from 1 species
UGCCAGACUCCUACGGGAGGCAGCAGUGGGGAAUAUUGGGCAAUGGGCGCAAGCCUGACCCAGCAACGCCGCGUGAAGGAAGAAGGCUUUCGGGUUGUAAACUUCUUUUGUCAGGGACGAAGCAAGUGACGGUACCUGACGAAUAAGCCACGGCUAACUACGUGCCAGCAGCCGCGGUAAUACGUAGGUGGCAAGCGUUAUCCGGAUUUACUGGGUGUAAAGGGCGUGUAGGCGGGGAAGCAAGUCAGAUGUGAAAACCACGGGCUCAACCUGUGGCCUGCAUUUGAAACUGUAUUUCUUGAGUGCUGGAGAGGGAAUCGGAAUUCCGUGUGUAGCGGUGAAAUGCGUAGAUAUACGGAGGAACACCAGUGGCGAAGGCGGAUUGCUGGACAGUAACUGACGCUGGAGAGCGAAAGCGUGGGGAGCAAAC